rnacentral:pre_miRNA from 1 species
GAUUUCAACUAAAAAAGUCAUCAACAACAAUGUUGUAGAAAUCAUUAAGAUCUAUAACUUUUAUUUUUGUUAUUUCUUCAUCCGAUAAAGUAUUAGUAACAUUGUUUACAAUAAUUUAUAUAUCUGUGUUAUAGUUUAUAAAACCAAAUGAGAGAUAUAUGAAUUUUGUGAAUAAUGUUACUAUCACUUUGUUGGAUGAAGAAAUGACCAAAAUAUAAGUUAUAGAUCUUGAUGAGUUAUAUAACUUUGUUGUUGAUGACAUUUUCAGUUGAAACC